AACACCUCAGUAGCUUAAACAACAAAGCAUUG
rnacentral:tRNA from 1 species